GCAGUCACUCCCUGGGACGAGGGAGUUUGGGCUGGUAAACCCAGAGAGGGGGUGAGCCAGAAGAUGUGGAAAGGAGUCCAGGGAAAGAGCAAUGGGGUCUGAAAGCAGACCCCAGUUACUAGACAGAGACACUGCUGUAGUAGUUGGGGAUCAGAAAGUGGUGGGACGCCCAGCCACCUCCGCUUUCCCUGGCCCUGAGUGACAGAAGUCGGUAGAGAGGUAUCCAAAAACAAAGACUCCUUGACACCAGAAAAUUCCACUACUUAGUGAUGAUCCUCCCAUGUCCAGGCCAGAAGGGAACAUUAUACUCAAAUAGCCUCAUCUCCGAUAUAACACAAGCCAUAGAAUUUGACCAACUGAUUUCUGCAUCAGGCCCAUAAUAGAUGUUUGAACUAGAGCAUAUCUUCUAGAAAGACUUCUCAGUCUUGAUUUAAAGACUUCAAGUGAUGGAGAAGCCAACACAUACCCAGAGUGACAGUUGCACUCCUAAAUUUUGGAUUAUGGAAUAACAGCAACAUACAAAUUCAGACCUGUGGGGUGACAGUGCCAUCAGCUGUUCUGAAUCUAUAUAGCCAAUAUGCAUUCCAGUGGUUAACUUGAGCCACUUUAGUACG